rnacentral:rRNA from 1 species
GAUGAACGCUGGCGGCGUGCCUAAUACAUGCAAGUCGAGCGAACAGAUGAGGAGCUUGCUCCUCUGACGUUAGCGGCGGACGGGUGAGUAACACGUGGAUAACCUACCUAUAAGACUGGGAUAACUUCGGGAAACCGGAGCUAAUACCGGAUAAUAUAUUGAACCGCAUGGUUCAAUAGUGAAAGACGGUUUUGCUGUCACUUUUAGAUGAAUCCGCGCCGCAUUAGCUAGUUGGUAAGGUAACGGCUUACCAAGGCAACGAUGCGUAGCCGACCUGAGAGGGUGAUCGGCCACACUGGAACUGAGACACGGUCCAGACUCCUACGGGAGGCAGCAGUAGGGAAUCUUCCGCAAUGGGCGAAAGCCUGACGGAGCAACGCCGCGUGAGUGAUGAAGGUCUUCGGAUCGUAAAACUCUGUUAUUAGGGAAGAACAAAUGUGUAAGUAACUAUGCACGUCUUGACGGUACCUAAUCAGAAAGCCACGGCUAACUACGUG